rnacentral:rRNA from 1 species
GGCUCAGGAUGAACGCUGGCGGCGUGCUUAACACAUGCAAGUCGAACGAACGGAGAAGAGCUUGCUCUUCGAAGUUAGUGGCGGACGGGUGAGUAACGCGUGGGUAACCUGCCUCAUGCAGGGGAUAACGUUUGGAAACGAACGCUAAUACCGCAUAAACUAUGGAUUGCCGCAUGGCAAUUAUAGCAAAGAUUUUAUCGGCAUGAGAUGGACCCGCGUUGGAUUAGCUAGUUGGUGAGAUAACAGCCCACCAAGGCGACGAUCCAUAGCCGGCCUGAGAGGGUGAACGGCCACAUUGGGACUGAGACACGGCCCAAACUCCUACGGGAGGCAGCAGUGGGGAAUAUUGCACAAUGGGCGCAAGCCUGAUGCAGCGACGCCGCGUGAAGGAUGAAGGUCUUCGGAUUGUAAACUUCUAUCAGCAGGGAAGAAUAAAUGACGGUACCUGACUAAGAAGCUCCGGCUAACUACGUG